rnacentral:rRNA from 1 species
GAUGAACGCUAGCGGCAGGCCUAACACAUGCAAGUCGAGGGGCAUCGCGGUGCAGCAAUGCACUGGCGGCGACCGGCGUACGGGUGCGUAACGCGUAUGCAACCUGCCCCGCACCGGGGGAUAGCCCGCCGAAAGGCGGAUUAAUACCCCAUGGUCCCGGGGGCCCGCAUGGGCAUCCGGGUAAAGCCUUGGCGGUGCGGGAUGGGCAUGCGUGCCAUUAGCUGGCUGGUGGGGUAACGGCCCACCAGGGCAACGAUGGCUAGGGGGUCUGAGAGGAUGGUCCCCCACACUGGUACUGAGACACGGACCAGACUCCUACGGGAGGCAGCAGUGAGGAAUAUUGGUCAAUGGGCGGAAGCCUGAACCAGCCAUGCCGCGUGCGGGAUGAAGGCCCUACGGGUUGUAAACCGCUUUUCCCCGGGAAGAAUAAGCCCCCCCGCGGGGGGGUGAUGCCGGUACCGGGGGGAAUAAGGAUCCGGCUAACUCCCGUGCCAGCCAGCCGCGGUAAACAUACUCGUA